rnacentral:rRNA from 1 species
AUUGAACGCUGGCGGCAGGCCUAACACAUGCAAGUCGAGCGGAUGAAGGGAGCUUGCUCCUGGAUUCAGCGGCGGACGGGUGAGUAAUGCAUAGGAAUCUGCCUGGUAGUGGGGGAUAACGUCCGGACACGGGCGCUAAUACCGCAUACGUCCUGAGGGAGAAAGUGGGGGAUCUUCGGACCUCACGCUAUCAGAUGAGCCUAGGUCGGAUUAGCUAGUUGGUUGGGUAAAGGCCUACCAAGGCGACGAUCCGUAACUGGUCUGAGAGGAUGAUCAGUCACACUGGAACUGAGACACGGUCCAGACUCCUACGGGAGGCAGCAGUGGGGAAUAUUGGACAAUGGGCGAAAGCCUGACCCAGCCAUGCCGCGUGUGUGAAGAAGGUCUUCGGAUUGUAAAGCACUUUAAGUUGGGAGGAAGGGCAGUAAGUUAAUACCUUGCUGUUUUGACGGUACCAACAGAAUAAGCACCGGCUAACUUCGUG